AUUGAACGCUGGCGGCAUGCCUUACACAUGCAAGUCGAACGGUAACGGGCCUUCGGGUGCCGACGAGUGGCGAACGGGUGAGUAAUACAUCGGAACGUGCCCGAUCGUGGGGGAUAACGAGGCGAAAGCUUUGCUAAUACCGCAUACGAUCUACGGAUGAAAGCAGGGGACCGCAAGGCCUUGCGCGGACGGAGCGGCCGAUGGCAGAUUAGGUAGUUGGUGGGAUAAAAGCUUACCAAGCCGACGAUCUGUAGCUGGUCUGAGAGGAUGAUCAGCCACACUGGGACUGAGACACGGCCCAGACUCCUACGGGAGGCAGCAGUGGGGAAUUUUGGACAAUGGGCGCAAGUCUGAUCCAGCCAUGCCGCGUGCAGGAUGAAGGCCUUCGGGUUGUAAACUGCUUUUGUACGGAACGAAAAGCCUUCUUUUAAUACAGGAGGGUCAUGACGGUACCGUAAGAAUAAGCACCGGCUAACUACGUG
rnacentral:rRNA from 1 species